UGAGAUGGCCAGACAAUCGCGCUUGCAAAAGUGAGGAAAGUCCGGGCUCCACAGGGUAAGGUGCCAGGUAACGCCUGGGGGACGUAAGUCCACGGCCAGUGCAACAGAGAGUAAACCGCCUGAAUGUAGUUCAGGUAAGGGUGAAAGGGUGCGGUAAGAGCGCACCGCGCUUCUGGUAACAGAAGUGGCAUGGUAAACCCCACCAGGAGCAAGACCAAAUAGAGGAACAAAUGCUUCGGCAUGACAUGCGGCCCGCAUGGUUCCCGGGUAGGUUGCUUGAGGCAGAUGGUAACAUCUGUCCCAGAUGAAUGAUUGUCCACGACAGAACCCGGCUUAUCGGCCAUCUCAAACU
rfam:Methylophaga nitratireducenticrescens strain JAM1, complete genome.